CUGCACGAAGCCGGAAUCGCUAGUAAUCGCAGAUCAGCAUGCUGCGGUGAAUACGUUCCCGGGUCUUGUACACACCGCCCGUCACACCAUGGGAGCCGGGAAUGCCCGAAGUCAGCGGCCCAACCGAAAGGAGGGAGCUGCCGAAGGCAGGCCUGGUGACUGGGGUGAAGUCGUAACAAGGUAAC
rnacentral:rRNA from 1 species